rnacentral:piRNA from 1 species
GAGAUGCCGAUGAGCUUCUGUAGCUGCCC